rnacentral:rRNA from 1 species
UGAGCAACCUGCCCUUAGCUCUGGGAUAAACCCCGGGGAAACCGGGGCUAAUACCGGAUAUGAGUCCGAGCGGCAUCACGCGGACUGGAAAGUUUUUCGGCUAAGGAUGGGCUCGCGGCCUAUCAGCUUGUUGGUGGGGUAAUGGCCUACCAAGGCGACGACGGGUAGCCGGCCUGAGAGGGUGACCGGCCACACUGGGACUGAGACACGGCCCAGACUCCUACGGGAGGCA